UGGGGAAUAUUGCGCAAUGGGCGAAAGCCUGACGCAGCGACGCCGCGUGAGGGAUGAAGGCCUUCGGGUCGUAAACCUCUGUCAGGAGGGAAGAAGUGUCGGCGGGCUAAUAUCCCGCCGGUUUGACGGUACCUCCGGAGGAAGCACCGGCUAACUCCGUGCCAGCAGCCACGGUAAUACGGAGGGUGCAAGCGUUAAUCGGAAUCACUGGGCGUAAAGCGCACGUAGGCGGUCUGGUGUGUCAGGUGUGAAAUCCCCCGGCUUAACCGUGGAAUUGCACUUGAAACUACCGGACUUGAGUAUCGGAGAGGGUGGCGGAAUUCCAGGUGUAGGAGUGAAAUCCGUAGAUAUCUGGAGGAACACCGGUGGCGAAGGCGGCCACCUGGACGACUACUGACGCUGAGGUGCGAAAGCGUGGGGAGCAAACA
rnacentral:rRNA from 1 species